UACGGAGGGAGCUAGCGUUGUUCGGAAUUACUGGGCGUAAGGCGCACGUAGGCGGCUAUUCAAGUCAGAGGUGAAAGCCCGGGGCUCAACCCCGGAACUGCCUUUGAAACUAGGUAGCUAGAAUCUUGGAGAGGUCAGUGGAAUUCCGAGUGUAGAGGUGAAAUUCGUAGAUAUUCGGAAGAACACCAGUGGCGAAGGCGACUUACUGGACACAUAUUGACGCUGAGGUGCGAAAGCGUGGGGAGCAAACAGG
rnacentral:rRNA from 1 species